ACAGGGAUUGCCCUAGUAACGGCGAGUGAAGCGGCAACAGCUCAAAUUUGAAAUCUGGCGUCUUCGGCGUCCGAGUUGUAAUUUGCAGAGGGCGCUUUGGCAUUGGCAGCGGUCCAAGUUCCUUGGAACAGGACGUCACAGAGGGUGAGAAUCCCGUACGUGGUCGCUAGCCUUUACCGUGUAAAGCCCCUUCGACGAGUCGAGUUGUUUGGGAAUGCAGCUCUAAAUGGGAGGUAAAUUUCUUCUAAAGCUAAAUACUGGCCAGAGACCGAUAGCGCACAAGUAGAGUGAUCGAAAGAUGAAAAGCACUUUGGAAAGAGAGUUAAAAAGCACGUGAAAUUGUUGAAAGGGAAGCGCUUGCAGCCAGACUUGCCUGUAGUUGCUCAUCCGGGUUUCUACCCGGUGCACUCUUCUAUAGGCAGGCCAGCAUCAGUUUGGGCGGUUGGAUAAAGGUCUCUGUCAUGUACCUCCUUUCGGGGAGAACUUAUAGGGGAGACGACAUGCAACCAGCCCGGACUGAGGUCCGCGCAUCUGCUAGGAUGCUGGCGUAAUGGCUGUAAGCGGCCCGUCUUGAAACACGGACCAAGGAGUCUAACAUCUAUGCGAGUGUUUGGGUGUCAAGCCCGAACGCGUAAUGAAAGUGAACGGAGGUGGGAACCUUUCGGGGUGCACCAUCGACCGAUCCUGAUGUCUUCGGAUGGAUUUGAGUAAGAGCAUAGCUGUUGGGACCCGAAAGAUGGUGAACUAUGCUUGAAUAGGGUGAAGCCAGAGGAAACUCUGGUGGAGGCUCGCAGCGGUUCUGACGUGCAAAUCGAUCGUCAAAUUUGGGCAUAGGGGCGAAGACUAAUCGAUCUAUCUAGUAGCUGGUUCCUGCAGAAGUUUCCCUCAGGAUA
rnacentral:rRNA from 1 species